rnacentral:misc_RNA from 1 species
AUCAUGACACAUAUUUGCACAGCCACAGAUCCGACCGUCCCAAAGGCCUCCCUCAUGACGCCGGCAUAUGUUUUUGACUCGCCGGAAUAUGUGUAUCUCAUCAAGAACUCAACAGAAAUGUCAGCAAGCCAAGCAAUAACCACAAUCAAUACAAAAGCAGGAAUUACACCCAGCACCUUAAGGGUGGCAGGUAUGGACAUAAUUCCUGCACCUAUUAUGCUAGUCGAUACAUUGAACACUGCUCCAGACACCGAUGCUGCACGUUUCUCUGUCUCCUUAUGCUCCGG